rnacentral:rRNA from 1 species
AUUGAACGCUGGCGGAAUGCUUUACACAUGCAAGUCGAACGGUAGAGGGGGCAACCCCUCGAGAGUGGCGAACGGGUGAGUAAUAUAUCGGAACGUGCCCAGUCGUGGGGGAUCACGUAGCGAAAGUUACGCUAAUACCGCAUACGACCUGAGGGUGAAAGCGGGGGAUCGCAAGACCUCGCGCGAUUGGAGCGGCCGGUGGCAGAUUAGGUAGUUGGUGGGGUAAAGGCCUACCAAGCCUGCGAUCUGUAGCUGGUCUGAGAGGACGACCAGCCACACUGGGACUGAGACACGGCCCAGACUCCUACGGGAGGCAGCAGUGGGGAAUUUUGGACAAUGGGCGAAAGCCUGAUCCAGCCAUACCGCGUGCGGGAAGAAGGCCUUCGGGUUGUAAACCGCUUUUGUCAGGGAAGAAAUCUCCUGGGUUAAUACCUCGGGAGGAUGACGGUACCUGAAGAAUAAGCACCGGCUAACUACGUGCCAGCAGCCGCCGUAA